rnacentral:rRNA from 1 species
GACGAACGCUGGCGGCGUGCUUAACACAUGCAAGUCGAACGGAAAGGCCCUGCUUUUGUGGGGUGCUCGAGUGGCGAACGGGUGAGUAACACGUGAGUAACCUGCCCUUGACUUUGGGAUAACUUCAGGAAACUGGGGCUAAUACCGGAUAGGAGCUCCUGCUGCAUGGUGGGGGUUGGAAAGUUUCGGCGGUUGGGGAUGGACUCGCGGCUUAUCAGCUUGUUGGUGGGGUAGUGGCUUACCAAGGCUUUGACGGGUAGCCGGCCUGAGAGGGUGACCGGCCACAUUGGGACUGAGAUACGGCCCAGACUCCUACGGGAGGCAGCAGUGGGGAAUAUUGCACAAUGGGCGGAAGCCUGAUGCAGCAACGCGGCGUGCGGGAUGACGGCCUUCGGGUUGUAAACCGCUUUCGCCUGUGACGAAGCGUGAGUGACGAUAAUGGGUAAAGAAGAACCGGCUAACUACGUG